rnacentral:tRNA from 1 species
GCCGUGGUGGCGGAAUUGGUAGACGCGAUGGACUCAAAAUCCAUUGAUCGCAAGAUUGUGAGAGUUCGAGUCUCUCCCGCGGCA